rnacentral:lncRNA from 10 species
CGGCACCUUCCCCUUCGCUCUUCCUCCUGCUCCUGCCCUGGUAAGAAGUGCUGCUUCCCCUUUGCUUUCUGCCAUGAUUGUACGUUUCCUGAGGCCUUCCCAGCCAUGCUUCCUGUGUGGCCUGUGGAACGAUGUGUCUGGAUGGUGACAGAUGGGAAUCUUCUCCAGUGACCAGAAUCCAUGCCUUACCUUGGGAGCCCAAGUCUUUCCUAGGAGAAUAUUUCUCACGUGUUUGACAGAAAACAUUAUCUGUCCAUCAUUUCCAUGGAUUCCUGGGUCUCACGGGCAGAAGGACAAGGCAGAUAUGAGGCGGAUCUGGUAAAACCAUAAACACCAUGAGAUCAGAGCAUCCAUCUGUAGACUCACAGAGCAAGAAGCGUGACUGCCCCAAUCUUGAAUGGAUGAGUAAUCAGCUGCCGGGUCCACCACUUCUUAACUUCAGAACCGCAGGAAGCCGCGUCAGUCAUGGGGUUCAUUUUGCACACGACAGAUUUCAUGGUUGUCCUUCCUCCAAACCGAGGAACCUAGAUCUUCUCUGAUCUCUGAAAAAUAAGUUCCUGGAUAUGAAAGGGGAUACUUUCCUUGGUGGUAGUCCCAGUGAAGACCCACUGAACAUCGUCAGCCUCAAAAUGUAAGCUGUGCUGUCAUCUGCUUUGUGGAACACAUAUGCUACACAUCUUCUCCUUUCAAUUGGGCUGAAGUUGGGGCACAGUUAAAGAGCAUUAUAAAGCUCCUGCUUUAGCAUGAACUUAGUUAUCUAUAGAAAAAAACAUGUACAAGGACACUGGGCUGUGGGGAGCAUUGCUCUCCCUCCAUUCCUGAGUGCUCUUAAUGGGAUUAUCCUGGCUUUCCAAAACCCUAUAGAGAAGAAGCUCAUAGAAGAAAAUUCUCUUACUGAAUCAGUAAAAUAUGGAAAAUAAUGGGACUGUUUAUUAAAGGAUUGAAUGAGAGAACACAAGUAAUGCACUUAGAAGAGUGACUGGCAUACAGUGAGUACUACCUCAGCUGCAAAGUGUGCUGAGAGAAAUCGGGGGCCUGUCCCUUUUUUGAGAACUUCGUGGCAUUUUCUGAAUGAUUGCAUCUGCCCACUCCCUCUUCAGUUGAAUACUUUUGCCCAUGUUUGAGCAUGCCUUGAGGCACACAGAAAGCCCUUGGAAAUUUCUCCCUCUUGCUGAAUCUUGUCUUUUUCAUAGGUGCUGGCUUCUCAACCAUGAUAGCCUGAAAUGUACCCGGAAAAUGGGGGCUAAUGUAAGUCAUAUUUAGAGAAGUUAUUUUGGGGGACAAUGUUUUUGACAAGACUACAUUUUUCAUUAUGUUGCUGUCUGUAAACAACUGUAGAUGCAGACUUGCAUUUUGAAAGGCAAGACCCAAAACACACAAACAGAGUAAAUACCUUUAAAAUGCCUCGAUCGCUGGAGAAAUGCCUGGAUGGACCUACCUGAGGGCAGACGCCACUGCCCAAAUUUCCUCUGGGGUUUCCCUGCGUCGGCUGCAUCUUGCCGACUUCCUCCUCGAUCCGACAGCGUGGGGCUCAGGAGCUGCUGCUGGCUGCUUGUCUGCAUGGGAGGAGAAGCACACAGUUACCGUCUUUUUAACCCUGCGCUCUCCUCCUUUUACUAUAAGAAAGGAAAACACAUGGCAGGAGGACAAGUGGGAAGAACAACAUGGACUCAGAGUGUCCACAAUGGGGAAAAGUGAAAAUGGGUAUAAAGGGUCACAGAAGAAAAAGAGCCACCACUGCACGCCCUGCUGAAGGAGACACCACUCUUCCUGGGACAUCUUGUCCUGGGUAACCCCCACUGCUUCGUUCCCCUCCAUGCCUGAGAAUGUCAUUGUUUCCCUUCAUAUCUUCGCUGGCAAACCAGGGGGUAAGGAAGGGGAACUGCAGGAAGGAAGGUGGGGCAGUGGGGACGGGCUGGGCGGGGGCAGUCUACUGUCACCAGCCUGGAGAUCCACACUUAGAGCUUCAGGGAAAGAGUUCUCUGCAGGCAAAGCUGUAUGAUGGGCCCUGGUGGAGGAUGGAGCUGAUAACAAUCUAAGCUACAGUGAAAGAAAGAGAGAUGCCAAGACUUCCCACACAUUUCACCUGUUCUCAGGUUCACCUGUCACCUCUCCCUUUCCUAACAAAAGCCUUGGUCUUCACAUCUCUUUAGUAUCCUUUUUUUUUUUUUUUUGUCACCUCUUUCUUUCUUAGGCUUUUUCAUCUAAAAACAGAGGGCUCUGAAAUCAUCACUUUCCCCAACCUCAUUAGCCCUGUCUCACUGUCUGUCCUGACUUCAGCCUGCCUCCCUCUCCCAUGCGAGACAUUGCCAACCAUCUUCAGGGUGACCAGUGGCAAGGCCACUGCAGAUGCCUCCCCUUGCCCCUUGGUUGACUAACUCCGCAGAAGUCCCUGCAGUCGGUGGCAGAUGAUUUCUAAAGGCUGGGGAGCCCAAAACAUGAGAUCUACUGAAAACUGAGCUAUGGCACCAGUGGGCCUCCUGGAGCACCCUGCUGGGCCGUGGAGCCUUAGGCUUCCAAAGGUACUCUGGCCCCUGGCUGCGUUGCUGCACACCAUGGAGCCUGGUGCUGCUGGGGGCUCUGCACAGAGCACGGGAUCAGCUCCACGUUGUUAACCUCAAAUCGUAAUUGCUGCCUCAUAAAGGGGCAGGUCCUCCCAGCCAGCUGCUUCUCACAGCACAGGACUCUCCAGGACGCUGAUAACUCCUUGUACUUUUUUAUAUAGACACAUACAUAGAGUUUGAAAAUGAAAAUAUGCUGUGACUUAAUAAAUAGAAACUCCUCAAGCCAAUUGUCCUGAAUUCCAUAUGUUCUUCUGAUACCCAACCAGGAAAGGAUAUAUCUUCAAUGAGUCUGAUUAUUUAAGGAGGUUGAAAGCUAAUUACAAACAUUUUCACUGAUUUUACUGCAAAUUUCUAUGACUUUAGAGAAGGGAGGAAAAUAUUUAGGGCAGAGCUUCCUGUAAACCAUACUCCAUGUAAUAUACCCAGAUUCAAAUGCAGCCCUUAGAGCUGAUGUUAACUCUUUAGACAAAAAUAAAACUACAGAAUUAUGAAGUUCAGGGCAUUCACUUUUUUUGGCAUUCAUAUGAGUCAGACUCUUUUUAAAUAACCUCAACUGCAUCCAAGAUGGCAAAGGCACUUCUUGAGCCACAUGCGGAUGGUCUGCUUGGCCACCUCCUCCUCUAUGGUGUACUCCAGCUGCUCCCUCGCCAGGAGUUCCUCCAGCUGCAAGCUCUUCCGGAUGUCCACGGACCGGUAUGAAAGCAUGCUGGUGGGAGAAACACACCUGCAAUCGCAGCUCUGAUUCACCUGAGAUUUACACCCUUAGAUACGUCAAAAUCCAGAGAGGACAUCACUCAGUCUAAUAAGUCUAGUGUUUUGACGCCACCCCUCGCCACCCGCAUGUCUUGGGCUGGUCCUGUCACCUCUCUGUGUCUCCCUUCCCUCGUCUGUAAAACAAAGAUGAUAGAUAGUCCUGGUAACUCCUUUAUUUAAUGACUAAGUGAGUUAAUAUCUGUGAGGCUCUUAUAGUAGUAAGUGCCAUCUAAGUGCCUGUAAAGCAAAAGAUCCAGGCUAGGAAAAGGCUCGCGACUUUCUCUGCAGAAGGAAGACCGCACCUCCCAUACUUUCUUCACACUUAGCCCCCCGAGGUGAUGGUUAAUAUGCUCGGCUGUGCGUCACACAUCCCUACUCCCUGCAUCCCACUUCCCUCUCUGUUUCUCUCAUUCAUCCUUCUGUAUCUUCCUUAUUAAUUAAUUUUUUCUUUUUUUGAGAUGGAGCUUCACUCUUGUUGACCAGGCUGGAGUGUAAUGGCGUGCUGUCAGCUCACUGCAACCUCCGCCUCCUGGGUUCAAGCAUUUCUUCUGCCUCAGCCUCCCAAGUAGCUGGGAUUACAGCUUCUGGCCACAAGCAUAUUUCUGUACACCUGAGUUCUCCUGAAAUUUGAGACACAACACAAUAUCCCACACACUCCUUGUAGGUACUGCUAUGUGAUUAAAAUAGCUACUGCUAGUCAGUCGCUCUUAUUUUUUUCUGUGGCAUGGACCCCUGUGGCAGUGGAGCUUAUGGGACAUUUCUUGAAAUAAUGCUUUAAAUGCACGGAAUGAAAUACACCGUAUUACAAAGGAAACCAAUUAUAUUAAAAUACAAUUCUCAAAUUUACUUUAAAACGGCAGUGAUAAAGUAACAUAAGUAAGUGCUUCCUUUAUUAUUCCAUUAAAUAAUACCAUCUAGCAGAGCUCAAAUGACUACCAUAACUCAGAAGCACUGGUGAGCAUAAAUGAUAUUUUAAGAUGUCAGUCAAGGCAGUCAGUUAUGUCAUCUGAAAAUAUCUAUGAUUUCUCCUGGUAACAAAGACAUGGAUAUUGCUAAUGCGACUGUGGUUUGUUGCCUACGUUCAUCAUGGAAGAGAAUGACACAUUUCAAAGAGUGAUUAGUGAAAAUAAAGAUGUAAUUGUUUCCCCCUUGCAAGUCCAUGGGCCUCUGUUUUAUCCAUGGACUCCUGCUUAAGAAGCUGUUAUGGGUUAAAUGUUUCCUCCCAAAAAAAGAUAUGUUGGAGUCCUAACCUCUAGUACCUCAGAACGUAAGGUUAUUUGGAAAUAGAACAUUGCAGAUGUAAUUAGUAAUUAAGUUAAAAUGAGAUCACAGUGGAGUAGAAUGGACUCCUAAUGUAAUACGACAGAUGUUCUUAUAAAAGGAGGAAUUUGAACAUAGAUACACACACACACACACACACACACACAAACAGAAUGCCAUGUGAAGAUGAAGGGAGACCAAGCUGAUGCUUCUACAAGCCAAGGAAUGACCAACAUUGGCAGCGCACCUCCAGCAGCCAGGGGAGAGGCUAGGCUAGAUUCUCCCUCACAGGCCUCAGAAGGAAUCAGCCCCGCAAUACCUCCAUCUCGGGCUUCCAGCAUCCAGGACUUCGAGACCAUACCUUUCUGUUGUUUAAAUCCCUCAGCUUAAGGUGCUAAGUUACAGUAGCCCAAGGAAACAAAUACAGAAGUCUCCCAGGAAGAAGAAAAGGCAGAGACUCCAUUUGACCCUCUGUCCUGUCUGGGCGCUCAUGAAAUGUCUGGAAAAUCUGGUGUUUUAGCCAACGGGGCAACCAUCACAGAGCAGGCCAGGCAAAUUCUCAUCAGACCCAUGCAAGUGAGGUGCUCUGCAUGUUAGUCCCAGCUUUGCCAGAGCCCUGUAACCGCAAGCAAGUCACUCAGCUCUUCUGGGCAGUUCCCGCAUCACAGGGAAGGGGUGGGACUGUGCUCUCCCAGAUCCCUUCCACCUCUCCCCUCGGGGUGCACCUCAGUGGGCAGGGGUCCCUACGGGACAUCAGGGCACAGCCGCCCAGCCCUCCCCUGCGAGGCACCUACUUGGAAAUGUUCACUGGAGGACGGCAGGAAAGGGCACUUAGCGCCUGGGACAUGUGACCCCACUUCACGACCACAGCAGAUGUGGCAUUUUGGGUUGGAAACACACUUGUUAAUUGUACUGCAGAGGCCUUGAAGGCUGACAGCUGUGGUUUCUGGCCCCCAUUCAGCCCUGCGAAAGCCUGCCUUGUACCUCAGGACAUCAUGGAAGGUGACGUCGCCGCCAUUGUGGAGCCUCUCCAUUUCGUAGCACAUGUGCUUAAACAGGAGCUUGUCCUUGUCCAGGUCCACCUCCAGCCUCCCACGCAGUAGCCGCAGCAGGAACUUGACGCGGAACGUGGGGAUCACCCCCUGCGGGGCAGAGCACAAGAAGUAGCAAAUCAUCAGGCCUCGAUGAUUCACUUGGGUUUCUCAAAAGAAAAAAAAAAAGGUGCUAUUUCUCAAAAGCUAGCAUAAUUAGCACCAGAUGUGAAGAAAGCUGGUCACCUCCUUGGAGCCUGGUAGAAUUAAGUGCACUAAGAAGAGCAGAGGAUAGAAAACUGAGUGAUAAAUUUCUGCUGGUGCUUCUCUUUCUGGGAUGUCACCACAUUGCAGCAUUUGGAGUGAGGCAUGGGAAGCUCCCCUUCAGCCCCCCAGGACCCUACUCUUGCUCUCACCAGGCUGAUGCUUGCAUAGCCUGUCCCACAGACGCCACCUCCAACACAUGCACUGAGUGGGCCAUAAUGUACUCACACAAGGUAAUGGACAAGACACACACGUGUAAUCCUCCUCUUCACUCAAUCGGGAUGCUAGGAACGUCUCAAUGUUUAUUACAUGUUUUUCUACCAUUAAAAGAUAACUCGUGUUGGAUCAUGCCUGUAAUCUCAGCACUUUGGGAGGC